GUCUGAAAUAAACGAGUAUGAAAUAGUAAAGUAGUCAAGUUAUUUAUUUAAACGGGCACAACUUUUUGAUUUUCCAGUUUUCAGUUUGAAUUUCUCGAAUAGUUCCACAAACAAGCUCCACCAAUGGCAAGGCCAUAGAUGCGGCUGUAUAAUACGGACCGCAUCGUGGCGGUACAAGGAUUAAAUAAACCGUCUACGUGUGGUGCAGGUUGCAUUUGGACAUUACAGCAUUUACUCAGAGAUGAUGACGCUCACAUAUCCAUCUCCCCAGAGGUCUUCGUUUCAUGCUGGAAGGAGAAUCAGGUCCAUAACAUCGUGAAGAAAAUUGGCGAGAGAAAUCGUACCUGGUUCCUAAUUCGGAAACGAUUGUAGGUCACCUUACAGAUAACUGAACGCGUCGAAUAUGUAAAACUCCCGUUUUAAUACGCCACAUGUUUUCGUCCCCAGAAAACCUGUGCAUGAAGUCAUGUUGUGGUUCUCCGAUAUUAGCACGGGAUAGUUUGUAUUUUUCAAUUACAACCAUUUACAGAGUUCAUGAAAUCAUUAUUUGUUUUUGAACUUUAUCGAGCUUUAUAUGUUGCUUUUAAUUUCUUUUAUUUUUUGCUUAGAAAUCUGCAUACGUCAUUCACACUGAGAAUAUCUGCUGAGAUACAUCUGGCCUUUUUUUCUGCUGAGCCCUCUGGGUCGUCAUUCUAAUGGUUCGCCCAUUUCCCUGAAACCAAAGGAAAGGAAACGUGACUACCCUUUUCUUUUAAAAUUCCGAAGGCCACGACAGAGAAAUCACGAAAGUUAAUGCCGGUAGGUGCUUGAAUAUGCAAGCUCAAUUACUUUGCUUUAAAUAGCCCAAUAAAUUUUCUUGUUUAUUUCAAAUGGCCAACCGGGGUAAUAAUGGAUUUUUUUUUUAAACAAGAAAGAAAUGUAUUUUUUAUUUCCGUAAAAUAUAGAGAUUGUAUUCUAGUGUUCUGUACAAAGCAAAAAAACGUAUUUCAAAAUAUAAGAGAGCUCUUGGCUUGCAGAGGUAAUCUACUUGAGAAAACUCACCGACAAAGAAGAAUUAAAA